GAAGUGACAGAUGUAAGCCGCGAGGGCAU
rnacentral:sRNA from 1 species